rnacentral:rRNA from 1 species
GCCUACGGGACGCAGCAGUAGGGAAUAUUGCUUAAUGGGGGAAACCCUGAAGCAGCAACGCCGCGUGGAGGAUGAAGGUUUUCGGAUUGUAAACUCCUUUUGUUAGAGAAGAUAAUGACGGUAUCUAACGAAUAAGCACCGGCUAACUCCGUGCCAGCAGCCGCGGUAAUACGGAGGGUGCAAGCGUUACUCGGAAUCACUGGGCGUAAAGAGCGCGUAGGCGGGAUAGCAAGUCAGAUGUGAAAUCCUAUGGCUUAACCAUAGAACUGCAUUUGAAACUGUUAUUCUAGAGUAUGGGAGAGGUA